rnacentral:rRNA from 1 species
UACAGAGGUGGCAAGCGUUGUUCGGAAUUACUGGGCGUAAAGGGCGCGUAGGCGGCCUUCUAAGUCAGACGUGAAAUCCCCCGGCUUAACCUGGGAACUGCGUGUGAUACUGGAUGGCUUGGAUUUGGGAGAGGGAUGCGGAAUUCCAGGUGUAGCGGUGAAAUGCGUAGAUAUCUGGAGGAACACCGGUGGCGAAGGCGGCAUCCUGGACCAAUAUUGACGCUGAGGAGCGAAAGCCCAGGGGAGCAAACGGG